CCUACGGGUGGCAGCAGUAGGGAAUAUUGCUCAAUGGGGGAAACCCUGAAGCAGCAACGCCGCGUGGAGGAUGAAGGUUUUAGGAUCGUAAACCUCUUUUGUGAGAGAAGAUCAUGCCGGUAUCUCACGAAUAAGCACCGGCCAAACCCGUGCCAGCAGCCGCGGUAAUACGGAGGGUGCAAGCGUUACUCGGAAGCACUGGGCGUAAAGAGUGCGCAGGCGGGCUUGUAAGUCAGAUGUGAAAUCCAGUGGUUUAACGACAGAACUGCAUUUGAAACUAUGAGUCUAGAGUGUGGGAGAGGUAGGUGGAAUUCUAGGUGUAGGGGUAAAAUCCGUAGAUAUCAAGAGGAAUACUCGUGGCGAAGGCGACCUACUGGAACAUUACUGACGCUCAUGCACGAAAGCGUGGGGAGCAAACAGGAUUAGAUACCCGAGUAGUC
rnacentral:rRNA from 1 species